rnacentral:rRNA from 1 species
AGUAAACGGCGGCCGUAACUAUAACGGUCCUAAGGUAGCGAAAUUCCUUGUCGGGUAAGUUCCGACCCGCACGAAAGGCGUAACGAUUUGGGCACUGUCUCAACGAGAGACUCGGUGAAAUCAUAGUACCUGUGAAGAUGCAGGUUACCCGCGACAGGACGGAAAGACCCCGUGGAGCUUUACUGUAGCCUGAUAUUGAAAUUCGGCACAGCUUGUACAGGAUAGGUAGGAGCCUUUGAAACGUGAGCGCUAGCUUACGUGGAGGCGCUGGUGGGAUACUACCCUAGCUGUGUUGGCUUUCUAACCCGCACCACUUAUCGUGGUGGGAGACAGUGUCAGGCGGGCAGUUUGACUGGGGCGGUCGCCUCCUAAAAGGUAACGGAGGCGCUCAAAGGUUCCCUCAGAAUGGUUGGAAAUCAUUCAUAGAGUGUAAAGGCAUAAGGGAGCUUGACUGCGAGACCUACAAGUCGAGCAGGGUCGAAAGACGGACUUAGUGAUCCGGUGGUUCCGCAUGGAAGGGCCAUCGCUCAACGGAUAAAAGCUACCCCGGGGAUAACAGGCUUAUCUCCCCCAAGAGUUCACAUCGACGGGGAGGUUUGGCACCUCGAUGUCGGCUCAUCGCAUCCUGGGGCUGUAGUCGGUCCCAAGGGUUGGGCUGUUCGCCCAUUAAAGCGGUACGCGAGCUGGGUUCAGAACGUCGUGAGACAGUUCGGUCCCUAUCCGUCGUGGGCGUAGGAAAUUUGAGAGGAGCUGUCCUUAGUACGAGAGGACCGGGAUGGACAUACCUCUGGUGUACCAGUUGUCGUGCCAACGGCAUAGCUGGGUAGCUAUGUGUGGACGGGAUAAGUGCUGAAAGCAUCUAAGCAUGAAGCCCCCCUCAAGAUGAG